rnacentral:misc_RNA from 1 species
AAGUCGUAACAAGGUUUCCGUAGGUGAACCUGCGGAAGGAUCAUUAACACGUAUCCACGUACCCACUAGUAAAACUUUGUGUCACCGAGCUCUCAGCGACCGGAUCAUGAGACCCGCAAACGGUAGAGUCCCUCAAAAGGGGACUGUCUCACCGGUAGAGGGAACCCGUCUUGAGAUUUUGACAUUAAACAAUCUCCCAGGCUUUCGGGCUUGCAGUUUCUGGCUGCCGUUUUGUACUUGUUGACUUUUUCACCAUUUGUACCUUUUAUUUUUGUCUAAACCUAAAGGGUUUCGGCUUGGAAACAAGCGAAAUCCGAGUUUGCGAAAUGUUUUUACAACUCUUAGCAACGGAUAUCUUGGUUCUC